rnacentral:rRNA from 1 species
CCUACGGGAGGCAGCAGUGAGGAAUAUUGGUCAAUGGACGAGAGUCUGAACCAGCCAAGUAGCGUGAAGGAUGACUGCCCUAUGGGUUGUAAACUUCUUUUAUAUGGGAAUAAAAUGUUCCACGUGUGGGAUUUUGUAUGUACCAUAUGAAUAAGGAUCGGCUAACUCCGUGCCAGCAGCCGCGGUAAUACGGAGGUUACGAGCGUUAUCCGGAUUUAUUGGGUUUAAAGGGAGCGUAGGUGGAUUGUUAAGUCAGUUGUGAAAGUUUGCGGCUCAACCGUAAAAUUGCAGUUGAAACUGGCAGUCUUGAGUACAGUAGAGGUGGGCGGAAUUCGUGGUGUAGCGGUGAAAUGCUUAGAUAUCACGAAGAACUCCGAUUGCGAAGGCAGUUCACUGGACUGCAACUGACACUGAGGCUCGAAAGUGUGGGUAUCAAACAGGAUUAGAUACCCUUGUAGUC